UACGAAGGGGGCUAGCGUUGUUCGGAAUCACUGGGCGUAAAGCGCACGUAGGCGGAUUUUUAAGUCAGAGGUGAAAUGCCAGGGCUCAACCUUGGAACUGCCUUUGAUACUGGGGAUCUGGAGUCCGGGAGAGGUGAGUGGAACUGCGAGUGUAGAGGUGAAAUUCGUAGAUAUUCGCAAGAACACCAGUGGCGAAGGCGGCUCACUGGCCCGGUACUGACGCUGAGGUGCGAAAGCGUGGGGAGCAAACAGG
rnacentral:rRNA from 1 species